rnacentral:lncRNA from 1 species
GGGAAAUCGAAGCCCCUGGGUUAAAAAUAAAAUUACCAGGGGGAUUUAGCUGAGUGGUUCCGCAGCCUGCCACGCAAGCGCAAGGUCCCAAGUUCGAUCCCCAGUACCAAAAUAAAUAAAUAAAAAUAAAAUAAAAUUGCCAGGUGUGGUGGUGCACAGCUGUAAUCCCAGCACUUUGAGAGGUUGAGGCAAGAAGGAUUGCAGCAAUUUCGUGGCCAGCCUGGAUUACAUAGUGAGAUCCUGUCUCCCAAAAAAGAAGAAAACAUUUACCCCAGUCCUUUUCACCAGAAUGGUGUAAACAAUUUGGUGCACUUUACUCCAGACUUUUUGUUGUUUUGGUUUUUGGCCCUUUUUUUUCCAAUUUUUUUUUUUUUUGCACUACUGGAGUUCGAACUCAGGACCUUGUUCUUGCCAGGCAGGCACAGUGCCACUGAGCUAAAUCCCUGGCCCUCAUUUUGGCUUUUUUUGAGCCAAAAGCUCAUGGCAAUCCUCUUGCCUCAGUCCCCCAAAGUACUGGGAUUACAGGCAUGUGCCACCUCACCUGGCUACUCCAGAUCUACUAACUAUUGUUCAUGUUGUGGGAUUCUACCUUUCCUAUUCUCUAUAAAUUACUCCUUUUAUAUUUUAACUUGAGGCUUUUAAAUAUUUAGAUAUUUUUAAUUAAUGGAUAAGAAACGUAACAACAACCCUGUAUUCUGUCAUGGCUGGCUGGAUGUCCUGAAUUUUGACUUCAGUUAAGAGCCAGAAGUCCAUGGUGCAGAUCUGGUGAAUACGGUGGAUGAAGACACAGCAUCAUGUUUUCACGAGCUGCCUCUCCAGUCAAUGGCACUCUGCAGCAGCAUUCACAAUGUUUUUUUGUUUGUUUUGGUUUGGUUUGGGUUUUUGUCAUGCCUCUUAAACACACAAGAGGAUUUCCAGAUCUGCUUCAGGAAGUGGCAAAAAACGGUGGAUAAGUGUGUUCAAAGAAAGUAGAGUAAACUGGGUGUGGUGACGCACACCAGUUAUCCCAGCAGGCAGGAGGCUGAGGCAGCAGGAUUGCUAUGAGUGUGAGGCCAACCUGAGCUGCUGAAUAUAGCGCGACCCUGUAUGGGGAUCAAUGCCUAGAUGAUAUGUGGAAAAAAAGCCCUCCCCCACCAAGUGCCUCCUAGUGUAAGCUGGGCCAUUUCAGGUGGACUCCUGGACAUCUCAGCCCGGAGGUGCCCCACUGGGGCCUGCUUGUCACCUAGAGAAACUUCACUCUGGGUUUUGAUGUCAUUUGCUGGUGCAUGUUUGAGUUCACAUUUUGUGGAAGUGGCGGAGCUGAGCAGAGGGCGGGAGCUGGGAUGCAUUCUCUUGUCCUUGAGGAUGUACCUGCCCUGGGUUUUACAGUCACCUGGGUUAGUUGUUCCCUGGCAUGAUAUAUGGGAGGACCCUGUGUGAGUUGGGUUCUUUUUUUUUUUUUUUUUUUCAGUAUGGGGCAUCGAACUCAGGUCCUUGCGCUUGCGCAGCGGCGGAGAAACCACUGAGCUAAAUCCCUGGCCCUUGGGUUCUCAUUUUUAAGUGGAGGCAACAGAGUCUGGAAUAGAAAGAUAAGGAGAUUCAUCACCAGUGUUUUCAUUUGUUCACUAUGCUCCUGGAGGUUAAAGGUCAUAAGGGUGGCCACUAGGGCAAAUCCUGUAGUCUCAGCUCCUGUAGGGAGGCUGAGGCAGGGGAGUUGCUUGUGCCCAAGACUUGGAGCCUGGUGCUUGCAAAGUAAAGGGGCUUUGGCUUUAAAUCAGCCAGUCAAUACAUACAUACAGGUACGUUCAGAGAGAACGAGGGAAGAGUGAAUUAGUAUAAAUAUUAAAACAUUGAAAUGAAGAUGUUGGGAGUGAUACAGGAAGUAAAGCCUGGCAAAGCUGGCUGGGGAAAUGAGCAAUACUUGUCAAUCACAAGAUCCCAGGCCAACAUGAGGACUCGUCCAUGAAACUUCUCCCAAGCUUCCACCAGAUGUGGGCAGCAUAAAAGAAGAGCAGCCUUUUCCGAAAGCCAGUAUCCUGAGUUUGCACUGUGGCCUGGGUGCUUUUCUGAGACAAGGCGGCGGAACCACUGAGCUAAAUCCCUGGCAAGUGUGUCCUGAUAGAGGGACUCACUGGAGAUUUGGUCACAGAAGGCUAACUGACCAUAGGCAGAGACACUUGAACAUGUUUUGUGGCUGGCUUUGAAAAUGGAAAGAGGCCAAGAGCUGAGGAAUGCAGUUCUACAAGCAAAGACAUCCAUGCUGGAGCCUGAGAGACUGCAGGGGAAUCCAGACCCUGGAGCUACCUUGGCUGCUGCCCCACGAAACUCACUCCAGACUUUUGCCUCCAAAAGUGGAAGAGGAUACAUUUCUUCACUUUGGAGCCACUAAAUUUGUGGUGAUUUGUUACAGCAAACAUAGACAACACCCUUCAUGUCCAAACAAAUACCUAUUUAUACAUGCAAAUUCUUCCCCACACAUGUUCCCCAGGUUUAUUGUUGUUGUUGUUGUUUUGUUUUUAGUUUUUUGAGACAGGGUCUUGCUCUGCAGUUCAGACUAGCCUCAAACUCACUAUGGAGCCCAAACUAAUGCUGCAGUGCGAAACUUGUACAGAAGUCAUUUUGCACACAUGCGUGUAUAUCAGAUACAUCCUUGCAAGGGCAAUUGCUGGGCCAAAAGGUAGCAUCCAAGCUGGCAUGGCAGUGCACACCUGUAAUUACAGUAUGUGUGAGGCUGAGGCAGGAGAAUCUGGAGUUCAAGGUCAGCCAGGGUUAGGAAGUAUACAUCCACUUGUUACUUUGAUAGAAACUGCCAAAUUUCAUUCACGCAGGCAAAACAAAUGUUUUGUUCCUUGUUUUGCGUUUUUAGACGGUCUUACUAUAUAGUCCAGCCUGGCCUUGAACUCACUAUUUAGCUCAGGCUGCUUCUGACUUGUGAUCCUCCAGCCUCAGCCUCCACAGUGCUGGGAUUACAGGUGUGUACCCCUAUUCCUGGAUUGGAAAGCAUUUCUAUUUCCACUGGAAAUGCAUAGGGAAUCUUGUGUUCCUGAUAGCUGCUAACUGGUCAGUGAACGCUACUCAGAGCAACUUUAAUUUCUUUCUCAUAUUGCAGAGUUGGGCCUGUUUUCAUAUGUGUAAGAGUUGAUUUUAUUUAUUUCCAAUGAACUCCAUAUCUUUUGCCCAUUUUUCUUUUUUGGGGGGUAGGAGUUAUUUAAAUAAUAGAGAUAUCAGCCCUUUGUGAUACUAAUCUCAAUUUUUACUUUUUUGUUUGCCAUUUGGCUUUCAUGUUGCUUUCCUUGAUUUGUCUUUAUUUGUUUGUUUGCAGUGCUGGGGACAGAACCAAGGGCUUUGUGCAUGCUAGGCAAUUGCUCUACUGUAGUGGCAGACUUACAGUCCACAGUAUGGUAGCUCUUAGUAGUACAGCAGGAUCAGGCCAAGAAGAAUCAAGAACGCACCCGGAGGUUGGAGGCAGCUUUAUUAUGCUGGCCAACUGAUCAGCCGGGAGCUGUCAGUGAACAGGGUUUAUAUGGGUCAAGGGAAGAGGGGUGGGGAUACAGAAGCAAGGCAUUUGUCAUCAGUUCAUUGGUUGAGGAAGUUACAUUUAGUUUACAUGAUUUGAUUUAAAAAAGUACACUGGAUACAGACACUUCCUGAGAACAAAUAACAAUGAAGAAAGAUGUGUUAGACACGAGAAGGGAUAUAAGGUGGAGUGGCUCUUUGUCAGUUAGGUCAGCUAGCCACAGGAAAAAAAACCUUUUUGUUUUUGCUCAGAAAUCAUUUUCUGCCUCACUACCUCUUAUUUUCCUUGAUUUUUGUUAUGCAGAAUUAUUAAAACAAAA